CCUACGGGAGGCAGCAGUGGGGAAUAUUGGGCAAUGGGCGCAAGCCUGACCCAGCAAUGCCGCGUGAAGGAAGACGGCUUUCGGGUUGUAAACCUCUUUGACAGGGGAAGAGCAGAAGACGGUACCCUGAAAACAAGCCACGGCUAACUACGUGCCAGCAGCCGCGGUAAUACGUAGGGGGCAAGCGUUGUCCGGAUUUACUGGGUGUAAAGGGCGUGUAGGCGGGAAGGUAAGUCAGCUGUGAAAUUUGGAGGCUCAACCACCAAAUUGCAGUUGAAACUGUUUUUCUUGAGUACUGGGAAGGCAGACGGAAUUCGUGGUGUAGCGGUGAAAUGCGUAGAUAUAAGGAAGAACACCAGUGGCGAAGGCAGUCGGCUGGAGAGCAACUGACGGUGAGGCGCGAAAGCGCGGGGAGCAAACAGGAUUAGAUACCCGUGUAGUC
rnacentral:rRNA from 1 species